rnacentral:tRNA from 1 species
CGGGGUAUAGCUCAGCCUGGUAGGGCGCCGCUUUCGGGAAGCGGAGGUCGCAGGUUCAAAUCCUGCUACCCCGACCA